AUGAGUUCAGAGCGUGUUCCCAGACACCAAAGGAGAGGAUGGUGGUGCCUGGAUCUGCUUUUCGAGGCAUUGCCGGCCGUAUCCCACCACCACCACCGCGUGAUUCCCAGGAUGCCGAACCGCGCGCGUGAGUCGUGCUGCAGUUCGGCACACGCUGGCACCGUGCGAAAGGUGUUUGCAAACAAACAGAGCGGCUGCGAGCGAGAGCCGCCGCUCCUGGGAGCGGGAACAGCAGCGGGGAGAAAGCCCGGAAAAGGCGGCGCGGGAGCGAGCGUGCACCGCUCCCUGCUGCUGCGCGGGAGCUUUCCCAGCUGUGGUGCUGGGCUCUCCCAGGCGAGGAGGCCCCACAGACAUCGGGGAAUGCCCCGAAAAAUCAGGAAUGCUCCGAGACCUGCCCCGCGCGUCCGGCUGCAGCCCUGGCGGCCGGUCCCAGGCGCUUGGACAGCAAACUGGGCGAAAGUCAGAGGCAAGGGGAGCUCGGCUGGCGGCUCAUCGGGGCUCCAGUCCUUUGCCACUGAGUUUCCUCCAUCCCGAAGAGUCAUUAGGAUAAUUAAAGUAUUCUCCCUCCAUCGCCGCGGGAGGAAUCGCUAUAGCAACCAGUGCUCUGGUCCUGUCGAGCAAGUGAGUCACCAAACGCAACCGCGCCGGUGUCGGGAGACGAUCCCGACUUGUGUCUCCGACCGCGAGCCGGCCUCUCGGGAGAGAAGGGGGCUCGCGCUGAACGGGACGGGGCAGCCGCGGGAAAACUGCCCUUCCGCUCCCGAAGCGCCAGCCGGCAGGUCCCGGCCCGCUUGCGGCGGCUCGCUGGGGUUCGGAGGGCGUCUCGCCGGCGCCGCUUUGCCGUCGUUCUCCCUCCGCGCGGCUCUGCUGCGAGUUCAGCCACGGAGGCCCCCGCGAGGGCCGUGGUUUCCCGCUCUGAGCUUCCCGAGCGGCCUUCGGCAUCACUUCGGCAAGAGGCACGUCGCGGCUCCGAGGAAAAAUGCCUCGCGGUUCCCCAGGGAAAAGGAAAGCUCAGGAAGAGCUGAUUGCUUUGGAUAG
rnacentral:lncRNA from 1 species